UUCUUCAGUUGAAUAUGUCUGAAAUACAAUGAAAACAGGGCUGUGUCAUGAGCAUUUUCAUAGCAUGAAACUGCUGUAUAUCAUGGGAGCUGUGGGGAUGUGUGAGGGAGCAGAAACGCUUGGGAGAGCAAUGAUGACAUGUCUCUACCCCAGAAGGAAAGAGCAGCCUCUUUCCAAGCAGGACCCAGGGGCAGACAGAGAGGGAAAAUUUGGCAACCUUUCAAAUAACUGAGAAGGGGCUGUCUACUGAGCUGGUCCCUCCCCCUCAGCAGAUCUGCAGCAGCCUUGCUCACCCCUGAGAGGUACCAAAGUCACCGAAGAGUAGUGGGGAAGAAGAGCAUCUGUCCCACUACAGAGCCUCCCCACAGUCCUUCACUGGAGUUUCUCUGAAAGAACUGCUACAGUCUUUUGGAGGUGAGCAAUAAUUACAGCUACCUUUAACUGCAUCUGGGGCCUCACAGUUAUUCACAGUGGUUCAUAGAAUCAUUAAAGUUGGAAAAGACCUCCAAGAUCAUGGACCAGAUUGACAGCUGCUUUGCCAGCUAAAGCAGUUUAUCCUGUAGUAAAGGUGGUAGUAACCUGUGCUGUGAGUUUAUAGUACAAUCCCAGUGACAAUGUAUGACAUAGAUUAUAGAAAAAUAGAUAAGCUAUUUCUUAAGAAAUGAGGACACGGAUAAAAGGACUGCUCUUCACUACAAAAAAUGAAAUUCAGCCACCUAUUCCUUCAACAGUGUGGGUGCUCUCACUCAUUUGAUAAUGAAGGUGACAUUUUGUCAUCAAUGCCUCAGCUACUGCCAGGGUGGACCAGCUACACAUUUUGUGAAGGUGUUUGUGAAGAAGUACAGAGCUUUAAGUUUUCCACAAGUCAACAGUGUGGGAUGCAGGACAGAAGAAAGGAACCUGGGGCUGUUGUCCAUGAGAGGGCAGAGAGAUGGGAGGAGGAAGACAGACUGGAGAAAACACUGAAAGAAAGACUUCGAGAGACUCUGGUUAGGUGAUGGAUGGUGGAAAAAACCCUGGGUUUUGGAAGCCACCAAGGAGUAGGGAGAGAGAAAGCAGGUGAUGCACUGGAGAUGGUUGAAGGGGGACAUUGAAUUAAAGAGGAGAUCUGUCAGUUUAAUGCCACAGUGUACGGACUAAUGCAGAAGUGUUGCAUUAAUUAAAGGAAGCAUCCAGUAAUGCUGCUGUUUUUGCCGGUCUGACACUGAAUUGGAGCUUGAUGCCUGCUCGUGUUUUAAGAGCCAUUCAUCACACAUGUCAUCCCAAAGCAGCCAGCUGUCUGAGAAAAGCCUCAUUUGCAUUUCAUCAACUACACUCCCUCUUCUCCAUACCUUUUGUUUGGGGCUUUGGCUUUUUUUUUUUUUUUCUUUUUUUUUUUAAGAGGAUACUCUUCAAAAGCAGCUUAGAUAAAAUUAGUAUUCAAUUUAGAAAUAUGAUUUUCUUUAGUUCAGAGGUCUUGCAGUUGAUCUGAAUGGAAAAAAGGUGUCAUACAAACACAGCCAUGCAAUCUGUCUGCAUAAAGAAAUUAAUGCAUUAUGGAAGAAGACAAAGAUUUUUAUGAUGGAUGGACUACACCUCUAUUAGUUCUGUACAUUAAGCUCUUAGAAUUAAUAAAACAUUUCAUUUAUUUUGAAAGUUCCUUAAAGGACAUGGGAUUUCUAAAUCUCAGCAGCUUUGAAUGAUUCCAUAUUAUGGGUUUUGAUUUCCUUUAUUGUUAGACCGAAAUUGUAUGUGUCAGGUUAUAUUGAAGCCAUUUUAGGAGGCCAAAGAACAUACAAAACCAUCUCAGUAUGUGGAAACCACCUAGAGAAAAGAGAAUGAAAUCAUAAGCUUGCACUUUCAUUCAGUGACUGACUUGAUGAACUAAUUUUUGCUUUUGUUGCUUUACUGAAUAGAUCAGAAUCUGAAAGUAAAUACAUCUCUACUGUACAGCAAAAUGAUGGAAACGCAAACCUCUCUGAAUAUCUCUUUAUAUGUUAAAUAAGAAAUGUUAUAGAUGUGUAUAUAUAUAUAUAUAUAUAUAUGGUUAUCUGUCUUAAUUGCUGUUUUUUCAGAGUAUCAGGACUGGUUUAGCAAAACAAAAACAGUCCAAACUGGGAUCCUAUGUCCCUUCAUAUAAACAGCAAAAAAUACAGAGAAAUUGCAGUUUAAUAUGAUGUAGUUUCCAAUUUUAAAAUAUCGAAAAUACCUACUUCUAAGCCGUAUAAGAAGUUUUCCAAAUCUUUUAUUUCUUAAACCAGCACCAAAAAUCUGUUCUUCCACACAGUGAAUGAGAUGCAUCUUACAUAGCUGUCAUGAUUGAAGCCAUUAUCUGUCACCAAUGGAGAGAGACAGAGCUAUGUCUGUACAAUAGGUGUCUACUCCCAAAUCUAAUUUGAUGGGCAUAUGCUCUGGGAUGUGCUGGGGUAUGAAGUGUGCCUUGUAUUUUUGAUGUCCAGACUUCAGAGGGGUAUUUACUUGUUCCUGGACCUUAUUCUGACUGCCUCUAGAAAUGGCUGUAUGGAAAUGGAGUAUGUAUCUGCAGAGAUCCCACAGUUGUAACAUAAAUGAAAUAAGUGGAACUAGGUGCUUAAUUAUUAGAGAACUUCGGAUGAAUUCAGUGUCACAUGCAUAUUAUAUGCUAAGUUAUUGGGCAAAAUCCAAUACUUAGCAGCACCUAGAUAAAUAUUAAACAACAAAUACAUAAUUUUAGGCAUAUAUACCUAAGUCCUGUUCAUUUCAACAAGGUUUAGGAAGUGAGUGUUUUGCUGAAUAGGCUGUACGGUUGAACUGUUGAAAAAAA